UACGUAGGGGGCUAGCGUUAUCCGGAAUUACUGGGCGUAAAGGGUGCGUAGGUGGUUUCUUAAGUCAGAGGUGAAAGGCUACGGCUCAACCGUAGUAAGCCUUUGAAACUGGGAAACUUGAGUGCAGGAGAGGAGAGUGGAAUUCCUAGUGUAGCGGUGAAAUGCGUAGAGAUUAGGAGGAACACCAGUGGCGAAGGCGAUUCUCUGGACUGUAACUGACGCUGAGGCUCGAAAGCGUGGGGAGCAAACAGG
rnacentral:rRNA from 1 species